AAGAAGAAGAAGAUGAUGAUGAUGAUGAUGAUGAUGAUGAGGUUGAUUAUAUUAUUAGUUAGAAAGGAAAUUGUAAUGUUCAUCAACACACAGCAAAGUCAUGUGCUGCUCCGUGACAGAGUUAGGUGUCUCUUUCAUUGGUGGCUAACGGCGAUAUCCGGCUGCAGUCAAGUCCUCUCUAGUAUCCGACUGCAUGGCUUCAGUUUACAGGCAAUUUCAAACGAGUCCUAUGGACCACGCGCGUCCUCUCGCUUCCGUUUUCUGUAACCCUUUCAAAAUCGUCGACGGUCUCGCCAGUUCAUCCGCCGGCAAUUUAGAUGAGAUUGCCAAGUUGUUCCCAAAUCUGUUCCAACGAUCGGUGAAAUUAGUGCAAAAUGAUGUUGAUUACGCUUCAAGCAGAUUUGAAGUUGAAAACUGACGCCGUAUUUGUCUGGGUUCUAGGCGACAGGUGAACACAAUGUGUUCAUCUGUGAAGUUGCAGUCUUAAAGCGUGAUUUGCUUGAAAAGUUGUUUGAAAAAUGUGAUUUUUGUGUUUUGUUGCUAGAUUACUUGAUCCGAUUUAGUAGAGGUGCAACAAGGAUCAUGAAGUGCAAAUACAUUGAAUGGCUUCUGAAUAUAUUUAUCUGGAAAAAAAUCUGGAAUUGUACUUGAUCCUGACAAAUGCAGCCUACUUACUUUGGGAGAGAAAACAUAACUGGUUUAUGACAUUGCCCAAUAUGGCAAUUGCCACAGAGAUUCUUAGCUCAUUCAGCCACAGGAAGCUUCUUGAAAUCGAACAGAGGCUAUGCUGAACUUCGAAUGAUAGGCUUUACUAAAGAAAUCUUGCUAUGUAUAAAUGUUGACUUCAUUAUCCUCAAUCGCUAAGAAAAUCAAGAUGAAAGCUUGUUUCUUGGCUACUGCUUGAAGCAAGGAACACAUAAACAGGUUGCUGGCAAAUACUAAAAGAUAUCGGAGACUACAUUAUAGAUGAUAACUCUUCUGCUUGAUUCCACAGGUUGCAUCAAUGUCUUUUUCAUCUUCUUCAUUUUCGGAAAUCUUGCUAUGUAUAAAUGUUGACUUCAUUAUCCUCAAUCACUAAGAAAAUCAAACUGAAAGCUUGUUUCUUGGCUACUGCUUGAAGCAAGGAACACAUACACAGUUGCUGGCAAACACUAAAAGAUAUCGGAGACUAUAUUUGUAGAUGUAAUCUGUAAACCUGUUGGACUCAGUCACAACCAUGGAGCCAUAUCAGUCCAAAAGGAUAACUCUUCUGCUUGAUUCCCCAGGUUGUGGGAAGACUUCCCUUUUGAGGGCUCUCUCAGGAAAUCUUGACAAAUCUCUAAAGGUGACAGGGGAAGUAUUGAUAUUAUUGCUCAGAAAGUAGUAAUUUACUGUGGAUAAGUGUUCUGAGAAACCUGAGUUGGAAGUCUGUAGUUUACGAAAUUCAUCUUCAUGAGAAGAGCAUCCUGGAAUGCACUUUCAGAAAUCAAAAAACGUCUCAAAUCUUAAGAAACUAAAUUCAAUUUCAUUUUCGUGUAUUCGUUAAGGCCUUACUUUGCAGCGAUUCUUUCACAUUAAUUUUCUUUGCAGCUCAUGUUCCUUAUGUUAAGUGAGAUGAUUAAA